CGUAUUCGUCCCCCUCAGGCCUAUCGAGCUCCUCUAUCUCAGUGGUAUGCUGCACUGUGUACCCCCAGAGGGCCUGGUAGCGCUUCCUCCAGCCAAAUCUCCUUCCAUAACUGUCUCUCAAGCUCUGUUACCCACUCGUCCAGGGGCUGCUAUCCCAGGAAAGACAUUUGCAGAGCCACUUGCCUCUGGAUCUGCUGCUCUUCACUGGGGAGCUUCUCACCUCGCUGACACUGCACAUCCUCCAGGGCUUCAUCCCAAAGUUCCUUUCUGGCGGCUUCCCGGUAGUCCAUCAUGUCCUCUUCUGAUAUAGGCCCAUCCUGCAGGGACAGAAGCUACUGCAAUCUCCAGUGGAACUCCUG